rnacentral:pre_miRNA from 1 species
CAUAUACUCCCUCCGUUUCAAAUUACUCGUCGUAGAAAUGGAUGUAUCUAGAACUAAAAUACAUCUAGAUACAUUCAUACCCGCGACAAGUAAUUCGGAACGGAGGGAGUAUCUC